rnacentral:ncRNA from 1 species
CACAGGCAUGGUCCUGACCUUAUUAUCAGCUUUUACCCAACUUACACAUGCAAGUAUCCGCAUCCCCGUGAAUACGCCCUCUAUCCCCCGCCCGGGGAUUAGGAGCGGGCAUCAGGCACAUAAAAUUUAGCCCAAGACGCCAAGCCAAGCCACACCCCCAAGGGAAUUCAGCAGUGAUAAACAUUAAGCCAUGAGUGAAAACUCGACUCAGUCAGGGUUAACAGGGCCGGUAAAACUCGUGCCAGCCACCGCGGUUAAACGAGAGGCCCCAGUUGAUAAUAUCACGGCGUAAAGGGUGGUUAAGGAUUGAAAUUUAAUAAAGCCAAAUAGCCCUUCGGCCGUCAUACGCUUCUAGGUGUUAGAAACCCGAUCUGCACGAAAGUAGCUUUAGCUAUAUCCACCUGACCCCACGAAAGCUGAGAAACAAACUGGGAUUAGAUACCCCACUAUGCUCAGCCAUAAACCCAGACAUUUAAGUACAAUCACAUGUCCGCCAGGGUACUACGAGCAUUAGCUUAAAACCCAAAGGACCUGACGGUGCCUCAGACCCCCCUAGAGGAGCCUGUUCUAGAACCGAUAACCCCCGUUAAACCUCACCACUUCUGGUCAUUCCAGCCUAUAUACCGCCGUCGCCAGCUUACCCUGUGAAGGUAAUAAAAGUAAGCAAAAUGGGUACAACCCAGAACGUCAGGUCGAGGUGUAGCGCACGAAGUGGGAAGAAAUGGGCUACAUUUUCUACUACAGAACACUACGAAUACGCAACAUGAAAUAGUGCUUGAAGGAGGAUUUAGUAGUAAAAAGGAAAAAGAGUGUCCUUUUGAACCCGGCUCUGAGACGCGUACACACCGCCCGUCACUCUCCCCUGUCAAAAUGCAAUAAGCAUAUUUAAUACCAAAGCGCCGACAAGGGGAGGCAAGUCGUAACAUGGUAAGUGUACCGGAAGGUGCACUUGGAUAAAACC